UGGUGCGGGUGCAGCGGGGUGCCUCGAAACUAGUUCCAGUUGAGUCCGCUGCGCGAGAUUGGCGCGUGGCGGUGCAAUAACGUCCGCGUCGGGGUUGUCUAAUCGCGACAGUCCGCGAGAGAAGCUUUUUCUGGCAGGAAAACGGCGCGCCAGACUAAGAGGGGUGGUUUACAGACUCGGUGGGAUUCGAACUGGUGAACAAGGUGAAGUUUCGUGGCCGGGGCCCGCCGGAUUUAACGGAGAGUCGGCAGCAGGGUAGCCGCGGACGUAGGAAAACGUCGACGGACAAGAAAGGAGAGAGUGUGCUAGUGGCGGCCGAAGUGAGAGGGGUAGAAAACGGGGGGGUUCGAUGCGAAAGAGUGAGAAAGUGUGCGCCGUAGGUGGGAGGAGGCAGUGAGAGAAACAGUACGAGUGAGAGCGCUAGAGUAAGGAGUGACAGAAAGAGACAGACAGAGAGAGAGAGAGAGAGAGAGAGCGAGAGAGAGCGAGAAAGAAAGCGAGAACUCGAGAUCGCGGGGGGUGUAGACGGGUUGAAGAGAGCGGAAUCAAGAGGAGGAACAUAGAGAGGGAGAGAGAGAGAGAGAGAGAGAGUGUGAGAGAGAGAAAGAGCGAGAGAGAGAGAGAGAGACGGAGAGAGGGACCACGGGCGCGCGCGCGCGCGCCUCUAUGUGCCAGGAGGAACCAACAGAGAAAGGAAGUGGAGAGGAUCCAGUUGGUCAGGGUAGUUAAGGGUACGAAGAACGGUAGGAAGGCUGGAAAGACGGGAAGGAAUCGUGUUAGUAGCCAGAGAAACCAGCAAUACGGGGGUGACAGCGGUGACCGAGGUAGAACGCGUCGGGUCUGUCCCCCAGAAAGGGACCGUCGCGCGCAACGCGAUCAAUUUUCGUUGCGACGCGGGCGGCGAGACUCGAGGAAACGAAGAAAUGACGACUGCAGCGAGAUACCGAUAACCGGCCAGAUAAUGUUGUCGCAGAGCAAAUUUUACGCUCUCUUUAUCCACUACACGUUUGUGUAGCGCGACACGGGGCGGGUCCUUGCCGCUGCGGUGAAGAACAGAGAUCUAGGAAGAAGAAAAAGAAGGAGAAGAAGAAGAAGAAGAGUGCUGGUGGAGGUGCAAGCAGAAGAACAAAAAAAAACAGACAAGAACUAGAGGAACAAGAGAGCAGGAAGAUAUUCUCGGAGAAUAACUCGAAGAUACUCGAAUAUCUCUCGUUAUCUGCAUCGCGAAGGAACGAACAAGGGAGCUAGACAGAGAGAGGGAGAGAGAGGGAGAGAAUCAAAGAGCGAGAGAGAGCGAGCGAGAGAGAGAGCGAGAGAGAGAGAGAGCGAGAGAGGGAGAGAACGUGCGAGAUAGAGACAGAAAGCGAGAGAUAGACAGAUAAAGACAGAGAGAGACAAGAAAUAAAAAGUUUGUCGUGGUACGGUGUUAAGUUUACAGUGUACGUUGCUUGGUAGUGUGCUACCCUUGCCGAGGCUGAACAAGCAAGGCCCGCGGAGGUAUCUCAGAACCCGCCCCUCCUCGACGUCGCAGUGCCUCUUCUCCAUAUCGCUACGUCGUGCUUCUUUUCGUUUAAGCGGCGACUAUCUACGCUACCGGAGAAACUCCUCGACCAUAAGUAUCGAUCGACUUGGAAAUCAGACUAUGUUAUUUCGGAUAACGGAUUGAUCGCACCCGUCGCUUCAUUCACACGUCGGACAUGAAAAAUCUUGGUUCGCGUUGGACGGUCCCCGACAUAGCACGCACUGCCGCAGCGCGUUCGUCAUUUCUCAUCGCCAUUUCGUCGGAACGAGAUUCAGGUAGCAGCAGAAAUAGUAUCAGCAGCAGCAGCAGCAGCAGCAGCAGCAGCAGCAGCAGCGGCAGCAGCAGCGGCGGCAGCAGCAGCAGCGGCAGCGGC